rfam:Triticum aestivum genome assembly, contig: Triticum_aestivum_CS42_TGACv1_scaffold_160039_2DL
CUGAUACUCCCUCCGUCCUAAAAUACUUGUCGAAGAGAUGGAUAAAAUUGGAUGUAUCUAUAACUAAAAUACGUCUAGAUACAUCCAUUUCUCCGACAAGUAUUUCCGAACGGAGGAAGUACUUU